rnacentral:rRNA from 1 species
UACGUAGGGUGCAAGCGUUGUCCGGAAUCAUUGGGCGUAAAGAGCGUGUAGGCGGCCUGAUCAGUCCGCUGUAAAAGUCCAGGGCUCAACCCUGGAAGGCCGGUGGAUACUGUCAGGCUAGAGUCCGGAAGAGGCGAGUGGAAUUCCUGGUGUAGCGGUGAAAUGCGCAGAUAUCAGGAGGAACACCAAUGGCGAAGGCAGCUCGCUGGGACGGUACUGACGCUGAGACGCGAAAGCGUGGGGAGCGAACAGG